rnacentral:lncRNA from 1 species
AUUAGUAAUAGUGCUAUUAAUAUAGAAACUGAUAUUUUAAAGAUAGUUCUGUUAACUUCCCUGUCUAAUAAAAUUUUUUUCACAAAUAUUUUAAUAACAGUUAAUAACAAAUCAAAAUACUAUAUACUAAAAUAGAGAUUAUAGAUUACUAAGAUCUUAUUAUAAUAGUAAUAUAUUCUAGCUGGUAUUGCCGUAGAACACCUCCUAAGACAAGAUUUCUCCUAGAGGAAAAUCGGGGCAGGAUUUUCUGAAACAGAUGCAUCUCUUAGACAAAUUUUACAUAUUUGUAUUUUGGCUAUGUACUUUUUGAGAAGAGCUUCAUCGAUUAUAGUAGCCUAAUUUAGUUUAAGUAAGAUUUUCUAGGAAUGAUUGAAGACCAACUAUUCAUUUUCAUCAUUUUGCUAUAAGAAUUCUUUGUAUGAAUGCAAAACGGUACCUAGGUGAACCACUAUAUUUAUAACAAAGAGAGUUUUUCAAUUUUGCUUUCUUAAUGACAUAAUGAUAUAUCAUAAUAUGGCGGUCGUUAGUUACGGAUAGUUUUUUUGAUAAGAAAUAAUGAUUAUCACGAGGAUAUAAUUGAAACAUUAUCAUAAUGCAGUUGUUGAGUUAAAAAGAAUUUACGAAACUAAAUAUUUCGACAUGUCGAUAUAAUGGCGUACAUUGACCGAUUUCAUAUAGUAUACUCCUUUAUGAUUUGAGAUCUUCAUUCUUCAUCUAAGAAAGUACUACAGAGUAAAGAAAUAGAGUAUAAUUCUUACUUUUUAGGGAUUAGGGUGUUGAGACUUGCUAUCAUCGAUCGUUCGAUGAUGGCAAGUCCUCAACAUUCACAGGACAGAUACUUAUAGCUCUCAUUGUACGAAAGCUACAAGUACCUCCCUUGUCUAAUUGGCCGUGUUGUGGUAUCAAGAGACACAACUGUCUUAUCCAUAAAGGAAGUCUAAUAGAAGGCUUAUUGUCCUGCAAGAAAGGACAAGAUUACUAGAUCCUAUUUCUAUUGAAAAAUUUUGGAAUCCUCUGCUGCUGGGAUCAAGCCAACAAUAGGCGUAUUUUAUCUAUUAAUUCUUUUACAAGUUAGUUUCAGAUUUUUUAUAUACUACACAUUUCACAAUACUUUAUCUCUUGCGACCAGUCAACAGGAUUACUGUCCUGCAGGACGGAUUUGCUGUAAUGACAAGUAUGUACGUAGUGCACUUCGAUAUCACGCUCAUCAUAAACUAUCACAGGUGCAGCCCUUCCAAUGAUGGAAAAGUAAUGGUGGAAAUUCCUGUUACCGGUCAAUAUUUGAGACAGUCGAUAGUCUAUAAUAGAAUCCUGCCUACCAAAAGCAAGUACAUCAAGCUACAUCCUAAGUCCCAGUGUCCAGCGAGCACUUGUGUGCCCUAGCCUAUAUGCGUUAUCACUUCGCCUUCCACCAGGCGCUCAACGCGCCAGCGUUCUUUUCAAGACGUGCAGAAAUGGCGUCAAAACGAAGACUUCGUAUUCUAACUACGAUGAAAAAUGAAUUAAUACGAUUUGAUUAAUAAAUUCUAACUAUCGAAGUAAUAAUAAAUGUUGUUUAUAGAAUCAGUUAUCUGAUAUUUUUUACAUAUUAUUUCAGCAUUAUUACCUAACUAUGUCUUUAUAUACAAUUUGUGUUCAAGAUAUAUAAAGUUUAACAAAACACCUCAUUGUUGAUUUUUAUUUUAAUUGCAAUUUUGUUCCAUUCUUUAUCUACACAUUCUCUGUUGUGAUAACCUUUCCUUUUUUAGUCUCAUGAUACAGAUUUUUAAAGACUUCUGAUGAUAAUAAUUCAACAAAGACCGCCAUUUUUUGAAAACGUUUGAAGAAACACGACAGAAAGGAAGCAGCGAUCAAAUUGAAUUAGUAUCUGGUAUUGGAUUAGUAGAAUUAGUGAGCAAAUUGAAUUAGUAGUGCAAUUCGAAAAUUCGACUUUGCACUACCUAGGGGCAGCUUGACGCUCGACGCUAUUACGUUGGACAUAAACAUUUAGAUCUAUUGGCCUUUUGGCCGGUAUCGCGUACACGCAAAUGGUCGCUGGGCACUAGCACUUAGGACGAAGCCUCAGAUAGUUUUAUCCAAGGUGCCUUCGGAUCAGCUCUUCAGCGAGCAGUUCAUUCAGAACUGCAGUAGAAUAUAUUUCAUAUAGCUGGUGGAAAGAUGCACAGGUCCCGUCUGGCUACCAGCCGAUUAUUUGGCCGAAGGAACCUAGACCCGAAGAUGCUGAUGUGGUCACCGAUAGCUUUCCAAAGAUGCUGGUGUGGCAUAGAUCCAAUAGAAAGUAACAAUUCUGCCAUGGCACAUCCUCAGUACCUUAUCUCUAAUCCAUUGAUUAAGCUGUAAAGCGACUACUAGCUAUAGGAAUCAAUCAGCAUUUACCGUAUAGCUAUUGGUGAAGGUAUCCUACAUUCAGAAAUUUCGGAUGAAUGACUAAAUGUGGAGAUUUCGAUGAACGGAAACCUCCGCAUUUAAUCAUUUUUCCAAAGAGUGCACUAGAAUUCCGUUCGGCAAUAUACAGUAAGCAUUUCCAAUAUAAAUGCCAUAUUUCAAACCGUCCAUAAAAUUUCUUUGUAGAGGAUGACUGAAUUAUUUGACUCACAAUUUGGGCCAUCAGAAUGAUGGAUAUAAUCGCCAGAGAUUCUCCUUGACACCAAUGCAAUAGCUGAAACCGUUUGCGAAUAGUGCCAGAUAUUCUUCCCUAUCGUUAACAUAUCGAAGCAGGCACCAUUAACUUCAUCAACAUCAGUAAUGGUUUCAAAACUGUUAAGACUGGCAAAGUCUGAAUAGCUAAGAUCUUAUUUGCUAUCUUUAUCUAUAAAGCUGUGGGUUUGUGCUCUUCUUGGAAACGUCGACUUACCAAGCUCAGUUUUACCAUGUUCAGCUUUCGAGAACUUUUUUGUAGAUAACAUAAAUAGUCAUGCCAUCCGAAAAAAUAUUCAGACCAACUAGAUUCGACAAUCACAGUGUCGACAGAUUGACGCUGAUGCGAAUGCAACACAUAUGAGGAAAGCAUCUCAGUGUAUGAUGAAUGGUCACAGACAUGUUGCGGUUUCGAUAUAGGUUUCAUUGCAAUUAAUCUGCAGAAAUUUAAUUUUUGCUGGGAGAGAGAAAAAAUAACUAUAUACAAAAAAUUUCCAUGAAUAUUAGUAAACUAAUAAUAAGUGAAAAUUUUAUUAAUAAAAGAUUUGCUUACGAAAAAUUUUAGUUAUAGAAAUUAAAUGACAUUUAAAUGAACUUUUUCAUAUUUAAUUCUAAAGGAGGUCAUCUAAACUUUAUUUUAAGACCAUGCCAAGAGUUUUGGCCCCGA